GUGUCGUUCAACUGAAAUAAAUCUGUUGUGGCAGAAAUUAUAUAAUUUAAAUCUGAAAAGCCAUUUAAAGUAGCGGUAAUUUAUGGCUCACAAAAAUUUAUAGAAGAACUUUGCCAUUCUAAAAGUCUGCCCAUCAAGAAAAUAUCUGCUUAAGUCGAAAUGCUGGAUUUGUUCUGAGUGACUCAAUGCUAAAAAUAGAUGAAUAGCCGCAAUCCGCUCCAAUCCAAUGCCAAAAAUAAAAAUGAAUACCUUACUACUAUAAAAUAAUGAUUAUUUUUGCCUUAAAUAUGUCACUUUGAAAAGAUUUACAAGAAAAAAUGCAAUCAGAAACAAUAACAAAAAAAUAAACGCACUAAUUGAUACUGGUUUGGUGCAACUGGACGCAUCAGGACUUACGCAGUCGUUUGCGUUCACUUUGACAAGUACUGACACCUCAGACAAGUUGGAAGUUGUUCGUCACCACCGUCACUUCAAGUUAUGCAGCAGCAACA